CCUACGGGAGGCAGCAGUGGGGAAUCUUGCGCAAUGGGCGAAAGCCUGACGCAGCCAUGCCGCGUGAAUGAUGAAGGUCUUAGGAUUGUAAAAUUCUUUCAGUAGGGACGAUAAUGACGGUACCUACAGAAGAAGCCCCGGCUAACUUCGUGCCAGCAGCCGCGGUAAUACGAAGGGGGCUAGCGUUGCUCGGAAUUACUGGGCGUAAAGGGAGCGUAGGCGGACAUUUAAGUCAGGGGUGAAAUCCCAGAGCUCAACUCUGGAACUGCCUUUGAUACUGGGUGUCUUGAGUGUGAUAGAGGUAUGUGGAACUCCGAGUGUAGAGGUGAAAUUCGUAGAUAUUCGGAAGAACACCAGUGGCGAAGGCGACAUACUGGAUCAUUACUGACGCUGAGGCUCGAAAGCGUGGGGAGCAAACAGGAUUAGAUACCCUGGUAGUCCAGCCGUAAACGAUGAUGNUAGUGUCGGUUGUUACUACUCGUGACGCAGCUACGACAUAAGACAAUCCGCCGUGGGAGGUACGGUCGCGAGAGUAAACGUAACGUAAGAAGUUAGAGUCGUUGAGAGUUGCGACGGACGACGACGAGGGAGGAGG
rnacentral:rRNA from 1 species